rnacentral:misc_RNA from 1 species
GAAGAUUACACAUGGGUACAACUUGAUAUUAGUUAUUCUUGGAACUUUGCCUACCGCACUAAUGAUGAUAAUGAACAAGUAUGUACAGAGAUUCAAACACCCCUUUAAUCUCCCUUUUUAUGACUUACAAGGUUUCAUUUAAGUAUUUUCACAAUACUAAGACAUAAGAAUUAGCUAAGCCAAGUGUCCAAUACUUCAAUUCCUACCACAAGGUAAUGUGCAAAUCAAUUGCAAAAGCAAAACCUGAAUUUCCUGGAUUUUAAUAGGGCAGACUACACAUAGAUACAGGUUUAGCCUACCUCCACAAUGACCCAAGCUGAAGAAAGUUUAGUACUCAAAGGCACCGGUUUUCUUUCGAUUUAUGUGACGUGGAAAUUUAUUGAAAUAGAAGCAUUUGCCUGCAAAAGGGUCUU